GGAUGUGAGGGCGAUCUGUCUGCGACAUCUGUCAUCCCAUAGACUGCCAGGGUUGAUUCGGCUGAUCUGGCUGGUUAGGCGGGUGUUUCCUUCCUCCCUCACCACUCCAUGUGCAUCCCUCCUGAACUACAUGCUUGGUCAGAAAGGACGACCUUCCUCAAUAGAAGAGGACCGUUCUCCAGUCAAGGGUAUAUGAGCAGCUGCGCUCCCCUGCUAGAACCUCCAAUCAAGCUCUAAUUGGAUAAAUCAUAACUCUGAGUAACUCUCCUGGCUUUAUAAAAUAAGCAAUCUCAGAUAUGUUAAACAUU
rnacentral:snRNA from 1 species